UACGUAGGGGGCAAGCGUUGUCCGGAAUCAUUGGGCGUAAAGAGCGCGUAGGCGGCCCUGUAAGUCCGCUGUGAAAGUCAAGGGCUCAACCCUUGGAUGCCGGUGGAUACUGCAGGGCUAGAGUCCGGAAGAGGCGAGUGGAAUCCUGGUGUAGCGGUGAAAUGCGCAGAUAUCAGGAGGAACACCGACGGCGAAGGCAGCUCGCUGGGACGGUACUGACGCUGAGGCGCGAAAGCGUGGGGAGCAAACAGG
rnacentral:rRNA from 1 species